rnacentral:rRNA from 1 species
AGUGGAUGGGGAGCAACCUAGUUGUGCGUGUGUAAAGGUAGUGCCAAGAAAAGCGGUGAUCAUGGUGAAAAUCAAUUCCCGGUACCCGAAACCGACACAGGUGGGCAAGUAGAGAAUACUAAGGGGCGCGAGGUAACUCUCUCCAAGGAACUCGGCAAAAUGACCCCGUAACUUAGGGAGAAGGGGUGCCACCGAGAGGUGGUCGCAGUGAAGAGGCCCAGGCGACUGUUUAGCAAAAACAUAGGUCUCUGCAAACUCGAAAGAGGAGGUAUAGGGGCUGACGCCUGCCCAGUGCCGGAAGGUUAAAGAAGUUGGUCAGUCUUAGGAUAAAGCUAGCGACUGAAGCCCCGGUGAACGGCGGCCGUAACUAUAACGGUCCUAAGGUAGCGAAAUUCCUUGUCGGGUAAGUUCCGACCCGCACGAAAGGCGUAACGAUCUGGGCGCUGUCUCGGAGAGAGGCUCGGCGAAAUAGGAUUGUCUGUGAAGAUACGGACUACCUGCAUUUGGACAGAAAGACCCUAUGAAGCUUUACUAUAGCUUGGAAUUGUGUUCGGGCUUCCUGUGCGCAGGAUAGGUGGGAGGCGAAGAAGGUAUUCUUGUGGGGAUACUGGAGCCAACGGUGAGAUACCACUCUCAGGAGGCUAGAAUUCUAACUUAAUUAAGGACAGUUUCAGGUGGGUAGUUUGACUGGGGCGGUCGCCUCCAAAAAGGUAACGGAGGCGUACAAAGGUUCCCUCAGACUGGUUGGAAAUCAGUCGCAGAGUGCAAAGGCAGAAGGGAGCUUGACUGCGAGAAGUACAGUUCGAGCAGGGUGGAAACACGGUCUUAGUGAUCCGACGGUGCUGUGUGGAAGGGCCGUCGCUCAACGGAUAAAAGUUACUCUAGGAUAACAGGCUGAUCUCCCCCAAGAGUUCACAUCGACGGGGAGGUUUGGCACCUCGAUGUCGGCUCAUCGCAACCUGGGGCGGAAGUACGUCCCAAGGGUUGGGCUGUUCGCCCAUUAAAGCGGUACGUGAGCUGGGUUCAGAACGUCGUGAGACAGUUCGGUCCAUAUCCGAUGUAGGCGUGAGAAUAUUGAGAGGAGCCUUCCUUAGUACGAGAGGACCGGGAAGGACGCACCGCUGGUGUACCUGUUAUGAUGCCAAUUGUAAACGCAGGGUAGCCAAGUGCGGAGAGGAUAACCGCUGAAAGCAUCUAAGUGGGAAGCCCACCUCAAGAUGGGUAUUCUGGUGUAAGGUCACGGGAAGACGACCCGUAAAUAGGCACGAGGUGGAAGUGCAGAGAUGUAUGAAGCCGAAGUGUACUAAUAGACCGUCGGCUUG